AUUCAGUGAUAUGGUUUUAGCUUUAAUGGUUGUUAAAUGAUUUUGUAUUUCAUUUUCCUUGUUGAAAUGUUUUGGCUUUUCCAAUUGUUGUUUCUUGUGCUAUUCAUGGCUUGGUUCUAGGUGCUUCUUAUUGAACCUUAGGAAAUUGAUUGUAAUCUUUUUCAUAUAAUAGAUCAUAUCACAUAAUCACCAUAGGUUUGCCGAAUAUUUUGAUUUCCUUGUUGAUAUUUUUCG
rnacentral:misc_RNA from 1 species